AAUUCGUGAUUUGGGCACCUUCUUAGCAUUACUUUAAACCUCUUUCAGGCUUCACAAAAUGGUUCGUAUGGUCUAUGUCUAAAUAUAGAGAUAUCAGACUUGACUUU
rnacentral:snoRNA from 1 species